rnacentral:tRNA from 1 species
GGUAAUGAAGUAAAAAAAUUACGUUUAGUUUCGACCUAAAAUUAGAGAAGACUCCGUACCU